rnacentral:rRNA from 1 species
UACAGAGGGGGCAAGCGUUGUUCGGAAUUACUGGGCGUAAAGGGCGCGUAGGCGGCCUGCUAAGUCGAACGUGAAAUCCCCGGGCUCAACCCGGGAACUGCGUCCGAUACUGGCAGGCUUGAAUCCGGGAGAGGGAUGCGGAAUUCCAGGUGUAGCGGUGAAAUGCGUAGAUAUCUGGAGGAACACCGGUGGCGAAGGCGACGUCCUGGACCGGUAUUGACGCUGAGGCGCGAAAGCCAGGGGAGCAAACGGG